GAGGAAAAGAAACCAACCGGGAUUGCCUUAGUAACGGCGAGUGAAGCGGCAAAAGCUCAAAUUUGAAAUCUGGCACCUUCGGUGUCCGAGUUGUAAUUUGAAGAAGUAACUUUGGGGCUGGUCCUUGUCUAUGUUCCUUGGAACAGGACGUCAUAGAGGGUGAGAAUCCCGUGUGGCGAGGAUCCCAGUUCUUUGUAAAGUGCUUUCGACGAGUCGAGUUGUUUGGGAAUGCAGCUCUAAGUGGGUGGUAAAUUCCAUCUAAAGCUAAAUAUUGGCGAGAGACCGAUAGCGAACAAGUACAGUGAUGGAAAGAUGAAAAGAACUUUGAAAAGAGAGUGAAAAAGUACGUGAAAUUGUUGAAAGGGAAGGGCAUUUGAUCAGACAUGGUGUUUUGCGACCCUCGCUCCUUGUGGGUGGGGAUCUCGCAGCUCACUGGGCCAACAUCGGUUUUGGCGGCAGGAUAAAACUUUGGGAAUGUAACUUGUCUUCGGAGAAGUAUUAUAGCCCAAGGCAAUACUGCCAGCCGGGACCGAGGACUGCGACUUUUGUCAAGGAUGUUGGCAUAAUGGUUAUAUGCCGCCCGUCUUGA
rnacentral:rRNA from 1 species